rnacentral:lncRNA from 1 species
ACAAAACCCGUUUCCAGAACGACGCCGUUGCAGUCGCUUAUAACCAACACAAAGAAUAACGUUGGAGGAGAGGCCCCAAACUAAGCCGUUUCCUUCAUCUUCAACUCUCUCCAUCAUCAUAAAGCACUGAACGCUUUGAUCCCAUUACUGCCUUCUCUUCUCAUCUCAUCCUCUCUUCCCUUUUAUUUAAUGUAGAUACACAUACCCACGUCUCCCUUCUCACUCUGCUUUAAUAGAAAGAAAGAGAGAUUGAUUAGCUCCAAACCCGGAAAGAAAUUUAUCCGAAAUUGACCCCGUUGUGUUUGUGAGAUCUUUUUGAUCAUUAUUAGCCAGAUAGAGACAGCGCAUAAACAGUUGUUGGGAGAUUUGGUUCUGGAAUGGGAUCUUCAGCAGGUAGUAGUGGGUAUGAUCUGUCAUUCAAGUUGUUGUUGAUUGGAGAUUCAAGUGUUGGCAAAAGCAGCCUGCUUGUUAGCUUCAUCUCCACCACCUCUGCUGGAGAAGAUCUUGCUCCCACCAUUGGUGAGAAUCAAUCUUGGAGAUCUAAAUUCUUAAAUUUGAUUAAUUUGGGUUUCCAUUUUUGGUUGGAUCUUCUUAUUGUUUGUUUUUAUUAUGCAAUCUUGUAGGUGUGGACUUCAAGAUCAAGCAGCUGAUAGUAGCUGGCACGCUUCAGCCAGGUGGCGUGCUAGCAGUCGUAGGAUGAAACUGAACGAUUGGACCAACUACAACAGUCUUCCGAGAUAACGGCCCAUUACCUGACCUACUGGCCCACCCACCAUCCUCCUCACCCAUCGGUCAAUGACCCGAACCCUUAUCCGAACCACCUGAUGACAAAACCCGUUUCCAGAACGACGCCGUUGCAGUCGCUUAUAACCAACACAAAGAAUAACGUUGGAGGAGAGGCCCCAAACUAAGCCGUUUCCUUCAUCUUCAACUCUCUCCAUCAUCAUAAAGCACUGAACGCUUUGAUCCCAUUACUGCCUUCUCUUCUCAUCUCAUCCUCUCUUCCCUUUUAUUUAAUGUAGAUACACAUACCCACGUCUCCCUUCUCACUCUGCUUUAAUAGAAAGAAAGAGAGAUUGAUUAGCUCCAAACCCGGAAAGAAAUUUAUCCGAAAUUGACCCCGUUGUGUUUGUGAGAUCUUUUUGAUCAUUAUUAGCCAGAUAGAGACAGCGCAUAAACAGUUGUUGGGAGCAAAAAGCAAAGAAAAAGCAAGAACAAGAGGAAGAAGCAAGAACAAGUGAAAGAAAGCUUGCUUCUUUUUCUUGCUGUUGCUGCUGGAAUUGGGGGGGGAGUGUUGGCAAAAGCAGCCUGCUUGUUAGCUUCAUCUCCACCACCUCUGCUGGAGAAGAUCUUGCUCCCACCAUUGGUGAGAAUCAAUCUUGGAGAUCUAAAUUCUUAAAUUUGAUUAAUUUGGGUUUCCAUUUUUGGUUGGAUCUUCUUAUUUUUGGCUUUUAUUAUGCAAUCUUGUAGGUGUGGACUUCAAGAUCAAGCAGCUGACAGUAGCUGGCAAGAGACUGAAGCUCACCAUUUGGGAUACUGGUAUUUGUUCAGUUCUUCAGACACUUUAGGGUUCUUUAAUUCAAUGCAAUGCAGCAGUUGGGAGACAUUGAGCAUUUAACAACACUAUAGGGAAUUUGGACCACUUGCAGUACCUUUCAAUUGACCUUAAUUCUAUUCAGUUUUCAAUUUAUGAUGUUUCCUUGCACAUUUCUGGACCACUUAACCUCUUUUCUCCAGUACAAUUAUUUUCACUACUGCCAAAGUAGCACAUAGACACAUUACUAAAACCGUAUCGUUGAUCAAACUCGGAACUGCCCAACUUGGUCUUUGAUAUCGCGAGUUGUACCG